rnacentral:misc_RNA from 1 species
GUUGUUGUUGUUGAUGACAUUCGUCCCAAGGUGACGUGGUGUCAUGUUGCUUGUGUAUUCUAGUUUUAAGCUUUUUGAGCUUGAAACGUGUGGAUAAUCGGUGGUGACAUACAUCACUCCUUUGGUUGAUGAAGGUCGUCCAACGAUGUGGUGGUUUGUUUAUUUUGUUCUCGCAUYGUUCGGUGCAUUCUGUGGUCAUUUUGGCUAUUAGUGGCUUGCUUGGCAAUUGGGCUUUGUGGGUUGCUACUAGUUYGGGUGUCUUCGGGGAUGUCUACCGUAAAGGUGCAUGAGUGGUGUUUGGUUUGUUACGGGUGGUUGGCUCUUUGCUUGCGCAACAACUUCCACCUGGCAUACCUCUUCAGUCUUGUGUCAAUGUUUGUUUYGCAUUGAAUGCACGACGGGUUUCUUGUGUUGCAUGCCUAAUUAAUGGUAUCGUUUGAUGAAUUGGUUUCCCUUUUCGUCUUGCGUCGCCUAUGCGAUGUGAGAUGAACCUUGAAGCAGCCUUUGUGAUCCMCACUUUUGAUGCAUACGCAUUGAUUUUGUGGCCCAUUAAGUGUUGCUCGGUCUCAUGGAUAUGGAACCUGGUGUGGGCAUGGAAUCGUAAUGGUUCCUUGUUUGCCCAAGUUUAGCUUUUUUAAAACGAUUUGUCUAUCA